rnacentral:rRNA from 1 species
GUAACAAGGUCUCCCGUAGGUGAACCUGCGGAGGGAUC